rnacentral:rRNA from 1 species
GAUGAACGCUGGCGGCGUGCCUAAUACAUGCAAGUCGAGCGAACAGACGAGGAGCUUGCUCCUCUGACGUUAGCGGCGGACGGGUGAGUAACACGUGGAUAACCUACCUAUAAGACUGGGAUAACUUCGGGAAACCGGAGCUAAUACCGGAUAAUAUAUUGAACCGCAUGGUUCAAUAGUGAAAGACGGUCUUGCUGUCACUUAUAGAUGGAUCCGCGCUGCAUUAGCUAGUUGGUAAGGUAACGGCUUACCAAGGCAACGAUGCGUAGCCGACCUGAGAGGGUGAUCGGCCACACUGGAACUGAGACACGGUCCAGACUCCUACGGGAGGCAGCAGUAGGGAAUCUUCCGCAAUGGGCGAAAGCUUGACGGAGCAACGCCGCGUGAGUGAUGAAGGUCUUCGGAUCGUAAAACUCUGUUAUUAGGGAAGAACAAAUGUGUAAGUAACUAUGCACAUCUUGACGGUACCUAAUCAGAAAGCCACGGCUAACUACGUG